UUCAGAGUGUCCCUCCAGUUCACAGAACCGACUAGUGGCAAAAGGAGAUCUCAGGCCCAGCUCUGGACUCUCAGCUCAGUUGUGUUUAAAUUUAACAGAGAUUUAGUAGCUCCAGUGAUGGGGAAAAACAGAACCAGGAGGUGGCUAAGACCCAGCCCCAGCCUUCCCAAGGCUUCCCAUUGCCUGGGGGAGGCUCUGAGUCACACGCAGGGAUAAGGACACAAAGCCUGGGAGAAGAGCAGGAGAGAGAGGCUGGUGAGAAGUCCCAGGCCAGGAGGAGGCAGUGGAGACAAGGCCCUGCUCCCACCACGUCGAGCCUCUCUCUGGCGCUCUUCCCUCCUUUUUCUGUCUCUCCUUGUCUGUCAGUCUGUCUCUGUCCCCAAGUGUGGUCUCCUAGGGGUCUGUCACUCUGUCUUCUCUCUGCGUCUCCGUCUCUGGCAUUCUCUGGCCGUCUCUGGCCGUCUCUGGCCGUCUCUGGCCAUCUGGCCAUCUGGCCGUCUCUGGCGUUCUCUGGCAUUCUCUGGCCAUCUCUGGCAUCCUCUGGCCAUCUCUGGCUGUCUCUGGCGUUCUCUGGCCAUCUCUGGCCAUCUCUGGCCAUCUCUGGCCAUCUCUGGCCAUCUCUGGCAUUCUCUGGCCAUCUCUGGCCGUCUCUGGUGUUCUCUGGCCAUCUCUGGCCAUCUCUGGCCAUCUCUGGCAUCCUCUGGCCAUCUCUGGCUGUCUCUGGCAUUCUCUGGCCAUCUCUGGCCAUCUCUGGCCAUCUCUGGCCAUCUCUGGCCAUCUCUGGCAUUCUCUGGCCAUCUCUGGCUGUCUCUGGCGUUCUCUGGCCAUCUCUGGCCAUCUCUGGCAUCCUCUGGCCGUCUCUGGCCAUCUCUGGCCAUCUCUGGCCAUCUCUGGCCUUCUCUGGCCAUCUCCGGUCAUCUCUGGCCAUCUCUGGCCGUCUCUGGCCGGAGAGAGAGCCCAGGUGGGCAGGAGCCCAGCUCACCCUCAUCCUAUCCGCAGACUGCCCUUUGGUGGCUUCAUGCCUCUGCCUGCUUGGUGAUCUCUUAGAACCGCCCGCCGUCUGCCAACCGCUCCCAGAGACGCACCACCGGUUUUGGUUCCCAAGAGGCGCCAUCAUUUCCUCCUCGAGAGAGCCUUUCUCCCCAGACACCAUCUGUCACGGGCUGACCCCAGCCUGGCGCUUCUGCCUCCCUCCACAGCUCAGGGCGGCCUCCCUUGGGUCUGCCCCCAGAGCUCUUCCUGGCCAGGCCAAGAGCCUUCUUGGUCCUGAGAAGGACCCGGCUGUGGCUGUGCCUGGGCGACCGCUGCCAGCAGUGACCGGAGCUCCUAACGUGCCUGUGGCCUGUGCUGUUGGCCCUUCCUCUGGGUCCUCCUCGCCCGGAUCCUGGACUUCUAUGACCUCCAGCUUCCUGCCCCAGCCUCGUUCCUCACCUCGGACAUCGUAGCCUCCUUAACAGCUCAUUGGAGCUCUCCGGAUUCCUGCGCUGAAGGAGGGGGGCUGCGGAGUGUCCUCCAGGCCACCCUGUGGGCUAGCUUUGGGCGUGGCCUCAGGUCGUGGAGCUCCUCCCCUUCCGGCUCCCAGACAGGAAUGUCCAUCCAGGCUUCUAUUUUGGUACAUCAUCAAGCUUGGAGGAGCCGAAGAGAACCAUCUAGAACAAGUAAACGGGCUCUUCAAGGGCU
ensembl:lncRNA